rnacentral:pre_miRNA from 1 species
CUUGGCACCUAGUAAGCACACAGUAAACUCUUGUUGGGUGCCUGCUGUGUGCCAGGCA